rnacentral:rRNA from 1 species
UUGUCUUUAGUUGCCAUCAUUCAGUUGGGCACUCUAAAGAGACUGCCGGUGUCAAACCGGAGGAAGGUGGGGGAUGACGUCAAGUCCUCAUGGCCUUUAUGACCAGGGCUACACACGUACUACAAUGGCCGGUACAAAGGGCAGCCACUUAGCGAUAAGGAGCCAAUCCCGUAAAGCCGGUCUCAGUCCGGAUUGGAGUCUGCAACUCGACUCCAUGAAGUUGGAAUCGCUAGUAAUCGCAGAUCAGCACGCUGCGGUGAAUACGUUCCCGGGCCUU